rnacentral:rRNA from 1 species
UAAUACAGAGGGUGCGAGCGUUAAUCGGAAUUACUGGGCGUAAAGGGCGCGUAGGCGGUACGGUAAGUGAGAUGUGAAAUCCCCGGGCUUAACCUGGGAAUGGCAUUUUAAACUGUCGUACUAGAGGUCAGUAGAGGGUAGUGGAAUUUCCGGUGUAGCGGUGAAAUGCGUAGAGAUCGGAAGGAACAUCAGUGGCGAAGGCGACUACCUGGACUGAAUCUGACGCUGAGGCGCGAAAGCGUGGGGAGCAAACAGGAUUAGAUACCCUGGUAGUCCACGCUGUAAACGAUGAGAACUAGAUGUUGGUGGGCGCGAGCCCAUGAGUAUCGAAGCUAACGCGAUAAGUUCUCCGCCUGGGGAGUACGACCGCAAGGUUA